AGAGAUUCAGCCAAGCGCGGGUCAACGGCGGGAGUAACUAUGACUCUCUUGAGGUAGCCAAAUGCCUCGUCAACCAAUUAUUGACGCGCAUGAAUGGAUCAAUGAGAUUCCUGCUGUCCCUGGUUGCUGUCUGGUGAACCAACAGCCAAGGGAACGGGCUUGGAAGUGUCAGUGGGGAAAGAAGACCCUGUUGAGUUUGACUCUAGUUUGCUGCUGCACAGUGACAUGAUGGGUGUAGCAUAGGUGGAAGGUGAGUGCCAGAGCUCUCAGAGCCCACAUCAGCCAAGAAAGGGAUAACUGGACCAUUCAGCCAACAGCCAAGAAAGAAGGGAUAACUGGACCAUUCAUCCAACAGCCAAGGGAACAAGAGAAUACUGGUGCAAGCCUGCAGUGAAAUACCACUACCUUCAUCGUCGCUUUGCUCAUGGAGUUGCCAGGGUACAGUGGCCCAUUGAGACUAGGCUGCCUCUUUUACAGGGGCAAGCCUUGGCCAAUCUCAAGCAUUCGUGCACAAAGCACUCAGCCCUCAUUGUACUGCUCCAUACAGUGUUGAUUGUCUCUUGUCCUCUGUUGGCAAGUUGCCUUCUCACUGUGAGCAGAUGUUUGAGAUUAGUUGCGAGUGUGACCCUGGGCUAAUCACUGAUCCCCACAAGAGAUUUGGGCCUCCAGACACAGAGCAGACUGGGAGUUUGGCUGGGGCGGCACGCCUUUCACAAGGCAACGAAGGCGUCCUGAAGCAAGGCUCAGAUGGGACAGAAACCUAUCAGAGAGGAGCAGGCCAAAGGCCUUGCUGAUGCUGUGACUCUCAGUAGAAGUCCGAAACAUGAAAGUGUGGCCUAUCGAUCCUUUGAGAUCAUUGCACGAGUUUGGGAUAUCAAAGCCAGAGGUGUCAGAAAAAUUACCACAGGGAUAACUGGCUUGUGGCUGCCAAGCGUUCAAAGCGACGUAGCUUUUUGAUCCUUCGAUGUCGGCUCUUCCUAGCUUC
rnacentral:rRNA from 1 species